AAGGAAUAUUGGUCAAUGGACGCAAGUCUGAACCAGCCAUGCCGCGUGAAGGAUGAAGGUCCUCUGGAUUGUAAACUUCUUUUAUCUGGGACGAAAACGGGAUUUUUAUCUCAAUUGACGGUACCAGAGGAAUAAGCACCGGCUAACUCCGUGCCAGCAGCCGCGGUAAUACGGAGGGUGCGCGCGUUAUCCGGAUUUACUGGGUUUAAAGGGUGCGUAGGUGGGCUUAUAAGUCAGUGGUGAAAUCUCCGAGCUUAACUUGGAAACUGCCGUUGAUACUAUAGGUCUUGAAUUAUCUGGAGGUAAGCGGAAUAUGUCAUGUUGCGGUGAAAUGCUUAGAUAUGACAUAGAACACCAAUUGCGAAGGCAGCUUACUACAUAUAAAUUGACGCUGAGGCACGAAAGCGUGGGGAUCAAACA
rnacentral:rRNA from 1 species